rnacentral:other from 1 species
GCAGCGCUGGACGUCCGCGUCCGGCGAGGAUCGCAAC